UCUGACUACUCUGGGACCUGCCACCAGUCUGACUACUCUGGGACCUGCCACCAGUCUGACUACUCUGGGACCUGCCACCAGUCUGACUACUCUGGGACCUGCCACCAGUCUGACUACUCUGGGACCUCUGGUGCCUCCAGCCUGACUUCUCUGGGACCUAUAGUGCCACCAGUCUGCUUGCAGUUGUCAGUUAUCGUCAGGUAUGUGGAUGAUCAGGGCUUUGGUCAGGAACAUUUCUUGGGAUACUUUGUUUCAAGUGGGAACUUAGCAAGAUGCGCACGCAGUCUGUGUUUGACUUUAUGGAUUUUGAGAUGUCAAAAUGAGAUGAGUUUAACUUGAUAGAGAAACGUGUUGUCCAAACCUAUGAUGGUGCAGCUGUAAUGGAGUAGAUCUGCCGUUUGUAUUUACAGCUCAGUUCCCUGAUUAAGAGGUGAUGACCACUCCACUCCACUACCAUUGUCAACUCUCUCCUCUGGGACCUAUGGUGCCACCAGUCUGACCACUCUGGGACCUAUGGUGCCCACUCAUCCACUGACACAUUGCAUGUUUCCCAUCCAAGCACUUCAAAUCCUGUCCUGCCCUGAAGUCAAGCCUCUGAACACCUCAUCUCAUGCCUCAUACCCUCAUCUAACCACUGCUGGGAUCCCUUUCCAACAGGGUGGUAGUGAUGGCCUAUUGUGCAGAAGGGUGCAGGCUGGCAGUGCCCGGGGCUGUGUGACUGCUGGACCUCUGGGUGACUGCUGGACCUCUGGGUGACUGGCAGUAUGUCCAGACAUCUCCUUUGACUCCCUCCACGUUCCUGUCCCUGAGACCAGACUGACUGACCCUGUGUGUGUGUUCCUCUGUCUGUGUUCCUCUGUCUCUGUAACACACAACAAUGGGGUCAGGCAGCCACGGGUCUCCUCCACAGCUUAGCAAUGAAUGUGUGUAUGAUGCAAUUUGCGAUGUUUGCAAUAGAAUAACCUGAUUUAUGUCAAAUGGUUUCCUCUCUGUUACCCAAUAAGGCUAAACAGGAGCCAGCUCAGGACCUGGUCUUCAAACUUCAGUAAGUGGAACCAGACUAAAAGAGAAGGCAACAAAGUCAGGGUUCUAUCAGUAGGGUUCUGGGACAUUGUGGACGGUCGUGUCACUGUUUCCAUGUUAUGGUUAACUAGCCUGUAGUCCCCCGCUCCUAUCUCUCUCCUCUCUCGCUCUCUCUAUCUCUGGUGGAGCUUGAGGCCCAUUAUCUCUUACUCUCCUCCUCCCUCUCCCCUCGCCUUCUCUCUCGCCCCUCUUUCUCUCUCUCUUCCUCUGGUGGGGACCAUCUCUCUCUCUCUCUCCCCCCUCUAUCUCUCUGGGCAAAUGAGAGGCCCAUCUCUCUCUCCCACUCUCUUUCCCUCUCUCCUUCACUCAUGUCUUGCCCAGCAUCCCCACAAACAAUCACAGAGCUAGCCAGCAGAGAGAAGAAGAAAGGAGCUUGUCACACAAAUCCAUUUCACAGAUGAUGUGGAUGAGCUUGCUAACUACCCUCAGAAGGCCCAGACUGUUCCCUGACACUUGGAUGCCAUGCAGUCAUUGUGGUUUGGACCAAUGAGGUCACCCGUUGAAAGAACAUCCAUGACAUCACCCUAUUGGCCCAUCACUCAUCUCACCCAAUCACACUCUAGAGUUAGGCGCUAACCCACAGAGAAGGAAGAAGACUGUCUAAAAAUGAAACCAAAUGAAGAAGAGGGGGAAAGACUGGAAUCUGUUUUUAUUUAAAAGUAAUCAUCUGUCUUUAAACGGAUAAGAGGAGAAGACGGAGAGGUUUGUCCUAGAGAGGACAGGCUGUUAUGGCAGAGGCCUAGUUUCUCCUCAAACCCAACCCAGGCAGUCCGAGGUGUGUCUGUAAACAGACAAAACGUUUGCUGUGCUGUGAUACUAAGCAGAGACAGGUUCAUUGUUAGCUUUUGUGUCUGGAAACUUUACAGCUUUUUGUAAUCUGUUUUUUUUAUUUUUAAAACUUUUUGUUUUAGUUUCUUGUCUCACUUCAUACUUUGUUGCGUCCUUUCACAAGGCCCCAGCUGCCUCCUCUCUCCGUUUCUCCAUCUCUUUCUCAAUGUCUCUCUCUCUCUCUCUCGCUUUCCCUCUCUCUGUGUUCCCAGCAGUCAUCAGUUGACUUGCUGUUGUUGAUGACACCCGCUCACUUUGCCCCUCUGACCUCUGAACUUUCACCUCUUCUAUUUCAGUCUUCUCUCUAGGAACGUGGAAAAACUGCCGUACAAACACAACAUUGAUCAGUCUGUCCCUCUUGGGAAUAAACGACUGAUUUUCCGAUAUACCAUCCUAACUAGAAUUGCACUGUUCUGGUAACUUUCCUAAAAUUCCCAAUUGUUGUAUUAUUCCUUCCCUGAUUCCAGGUAUCUUCCAACCCUAAUCCUGACCCAAAGGACCUUCGCCAUCCCUUCAAUUCUAAAACAAGAAGCAAUGGGCAUAGUGAAAUGAUGUCUGACCAAGUUAUUGUCACCUUAACUAUUGUUUAGCUACUAUAUCCAUAUAAUGACUUACUGUCGUGUCCACAUAGACACACUCCAUCAAUUUGAGUCAUCUGAAGAUACCAGAGACUAAAACCGUGUCGUCUCGGCUGUUAGAUGUGAACUGAGUUUAAGGGACUAAUGUCUGAGAUUAUUCCUACUUUUAUUUAGUCGUCAUUCAUCGAAUCAGACGGAACUCGUAGCUCCAGAAAAGAGACUGAAGUGAAUUUGUAAUGUACACAAUGUACUGUAUGUUAUAAAUGGUGUUUACACAGGGAGAGAUGUUCAGGCCAGCAUUGUUGUCAUGGUGGUUUGCACUCUGCAGGUUUAUGGGAGUGUCCGUCUGUGAUCUGUGACAACAAGUCUGAUUUGUUUUUUUUUCUCUCCAGACACGAUGAACAGAUUUCUAGGGAUGUAGCCUUAAACCACAGCCUAGCAACACGCAUAAUCACAAUUAAAAUCAGUGUGUUGACUCUG